rnacentral:rRNA from 1 species
CGUAGGGGGCUAGCGUUGUCCGGAUUUAUUGGGCGUAAAGCGCGUGUAGGCGGCCGGCUAGGUCUGGUGUGAAAACUCGAGGCUCGAACCUCGAGAUGUCGCGGGAAACCAGUCGGCUAGAGUCCGGAAGAGGAGAGUGGAAUUCCUGGUGUAGCGGUGAAAUGCGCAGAUAUCAGGAAGAACACCUAUGGCGAAAGCAGCUCUCCGGGACGGUACUGACGCUGAGACGCGAAAGCGUGGGGAGCGAACAGGAUUAGAUACCCUGGUAGUCCACGCCGUAAACGAUGGGCGCUAGGUGUGGGCGGUGUCGACUCCGUCCGUGCCGAAGCUAACGCAUUAAGUCGCCCCGCCGUGGGGAGUACGGCCGCAAGGCUA